rnacentral:rRNA from 1 species
GAUGAACGCUGGCGGCGUGCCUAAUACAUGCACGUCGAGCGAAUGGAUUAAGAGCUUGCUCUUAUGAAGCUAGCGGCGGACGGGUGAGUAACACGUGGGUAACCUGCCCAUAAGACUGGGAUAACUCCGGGAACCCGGGGAUAAUACCGGCUACCAUUUUGAACCGCCUGGUUCGAAAUUGAAAGGCGUCUUCGGCUGUCACUUAUGUAUGGACCCGCGUCGCAUUAGCUAGUUGGUGAGGUAACGGCUCACCAAGGAAACGAUGCGUAGCCGAACUGAGAGGGGGAUCGGCCACACUGGGACUGAGACACGGCCCAGACUCCUACGGGAGGCAGCAGUAGGGAAUCGUCCGCAAUGGACGAAAGUCUGACGGGGCAACGCCGCGUGAGUGAUGAAGGCUUUCGGGUCGUAAAACUCUGUUGUUAGGGAAGAACAAGUGCUAGUUGAAUAAGCUGGCACCUUGACGGUACCUAACCAGAAAGCCACGGCUAACUACGUGCCAGCAGCCGCCGUAA